CAGGGCGUGGCUGAGAGAGCUAAGCAUCUCACUUACGCCGAGAAGACACCUAUGCAAGUUAGGUCGCCCUGA
rnacentral:tRNA from 1 species